rnacentral:sRNA from 1 species
CCUCCUAAAGCUACACCUUUAGUUGAUGAUGACCUUCUCCAGUAGAAAACUGUUCCUAAGCCAAGGGUAUGUAGGUAGUUGCACUUCUCUUCUAGAACUUUCAAAGAAGAUUUCUUGGUAAACCUCCAAGAUCUCUAGGGAAAC